AGUGGGUUGGUCUAGUGGUAAGACAUCUCUCUCACACGCAUCACCCUCUAGAGGGGAAGCAGAGCAGAGAAAGUCGAGGGUUCGAUCCCCUCACUCACUA